AAAGCGCCGCCAUGUCUAAUUCAGGGUUUUCUCACUUCUGAUGUCAGGAACUACUGAAUCCUACCAGUGGAUUGUUAAAACGGGGCAUUGCACACAAGCAUUGAAAUGAUUGUAAACCUCUGAAAUCACAGCUUUGAACAGUUUAGGAAUUGCAUUGCGUUAUUGCAUUAUUUUGCAACAACCAGUUUUUCUUUGGCACAUUUACAUUUUUGUGAUAUAAGCUUGCUUGCAAGAAUUUUAUUUUUUAUUUUUUGGUACAUGUUAGAGGAAUUUAAUGUCAUACAAGCAGCUUAGGGAAAAAUGUUUGGUGUGCCUCUGUCCAAAACGAAAUCCAGCCACCAGAGUAGUUUCUGCAGGGCCAAACCUGAUUGCAGCAGAAAUUUGGCAAAGAAAUAAUGUAACACAAUGCAUAACAGACGUUUGUACGUUUUGAUAGAGUAGGUGAUGCCAGUUUCCUUUAAGCUAAAUUACAUUUUGGGACUUGAGAGGUAUCCAUAGACUGUAGAUAAAAGAUGUACCCACAGUGCCAACAUCCACUGACUUCUUUGAAACAGGAUGUGACCAUAUUUGGAUAAAAGGUUGAGCGGGAAAAGUGAUGCUACUGCUACUAAUGGCUAGAUAACUUGGUAAAGUGCCAAAGGUCAAAUGUUAUGCUAAUGUUUGGCUAGCUUAAAAACUUGGCAGAAAACUGAACACAAAAGAACGGCCACUUAAGUGCAUAUCUUUAAACAUGAUUGCAGUUUUAAAAAGUAUUUUCUUCAUAAGAUGCCAAGUUUGUAUAUUGCGUUGAGCCGGCCUCAAGUGGCCAUUCAAGGAACUGCAAUUAUUGCCAUUUCUACUGUGGUUUCAUUUUCCUAGCAAUCUAUUUCCAACAGACUCGAGAUCAAAAUCUCUUACGUGAAACAACUUUAGCUCUCGUAACCUGGCAGGAAAAAAAAAAUGCAAUCAAGCAGAACCCUACUUUUCAUAGAGGGAAGGGACAAAAAGAUUAAAAUGUGUUUUCAGGGGUUUUAAAAAGACUCGAUGUCCUGAGUAUUUAUCCCCUGCAUCAAAGGAGGAGCGGUAGUUUUAUUUGGCCUUUUUAAAUGAUCAGUUGAUCGCAGGGCACGUUUAAGGUGCAGAAUAAAGCUUUCAUCAGUGGUUGUGAAUGCAUUUAAAAUGAUUUAGUUUCAGUGUUUGAUUUUUAAAAUGUGAGGUUCUUGAGGGGAGGCCUGUUUAAUCGCUCCUACUUUGAGUGCAGUGAUGAAUAUCGGCCCCACUCUACUCUCAGAAGUUGGGAAAGGGAUUCUUGUCAUUCAUUUUAAUGUGACACUCCUCAAAAUAUAUCAAUGGGUGCCUUUUGUUUGUAAACCAAAAAGAAGGAAUAAACAAUGUUUAAU
ensembl:lncRNA